rnacentral:tRNA from 1 species
UCCUCGAUAGUCUAGUGGUGAGGAUAUCGGCUUGUCAAUCAUACGAUUCGCCGGGGACCGGGGUUCAAUUCCCCGUCGAGGAG